CUCCUGGAGGACCUGGUGUAUCUCCUGGAAGCUGGGCCUCUCCUUCGUGUUCCUCUUCCAGCAGCUCAACAUGAGCUUGUAGAUGACGUCUGGGCACAUGGCAGGCUGAGGAAGGCGACCACUGCAGAGAAGGCAGGGAAAAGAUCUGACGAUGAUCAAGUGGACUGCAAUCCACUUCCUCCAUCACCCUACCUUUCCCCAGGCCGUCAAUCCUCACCUGUCGUUGCUGGUCCCGGAAAAACUCUCCGGUGUUUUCGAUGACCUGCUCAUCAGUGAGCGGCUGCAGACAGGUCCUUGGCCGGCCAAUAAGGAUUGUGCUACGAGGUGACCUCACCAUGUCACGGAAGUCCAUUUAAUCUAGAGAGAUCUGGACUGCAAAGGCCUGAAGAGCAGCAGGGCCCUUCCUCACCAGCAGGAUGCUCUCCCAGGCCAUCCAGCGGAUGGGUAGCACGGCACGGCCCUGGAUGCGGUAGUAAUCC